AUUGAACGCUGGCGGCAUGCCUUACACAUGCAAGUCGAGCGAGAACCAGAGCUUCGGCUCUGGGGAAAGCGGCGAACGGGUGAGUAACACGUGGGUAACCUGCCCUCGGCACCGGGAUAGCCCGGGGAAACUCGGAUUAAUACCGGACAGCCUCACAAGCCCUCGGGCGAGUGAGAAAAGGUGGCUUCGGCUUCCGGCUGAGGAUGGGCCCGCGGCCGAUUAGCUUGUUGGUGGGGUAAUGGCUCACCAAGGCUCCGAUCGGCAGCUGGUCUGAGGAGACGGUCAGCCACACGGGGACGGGGACGCGGGCCAGACUCCUAGGGGAGGCAGCAGUGGGGAAUCUGGGGCGAUGGGCGGAGGCCGGACGCAGCGACGCCGCGUGCGGGAAGAAGGCCUUCGGGUUGUAAACCGCUUUCAGGAGGGACGAGGCCACUCAGGUUAAUAGCCGAGAGGGUGACGGUACCUCCAGAAGAAGCCCCGGCUAACUACGUGCCAGCAGCCGCGGUAAAAC
rnacentral:rRNA from 1 species